CCUACGGGUGGCUGCAGUCGAGGAUCUUCGUCAAUGGGCGAAAGCCUGAACGAGCGACGCCGCGUGCGCGAUGAAGGCCUUCGGGUUGUAAAGCGCGAAAGUGGGGACGAAAGCCGAAAGGUUUGACUGAUACACAGUAAGCUCGGGCUAAGUUCGUGCCAGCAGCCGCGGUAAGACGAACCGAGCGAACGUUGUUCGGAAUCACUGGGCUUAAAGGGCGCGUAGGCGGGCAUUCAAGUCCGUGGUGAAAUCCGGCAGCUCAACUGUCGAAUUGCCGCGGAUACUGGGUGCCUCGAGGGAGGUAGGGGUGCGCGGAACUAACAGUGGAGCGGUGAAAUGCGUUGAUAUUGUUAGGAACUCCGGUGGCGAAGGCGGCGCACUGGACCUCUUCUGACGCUGAGGCGCGAAAGCCAGGGGAGCAAACGGGAUUAGAUACCCUAGUAGUC
rnacentral:rRNA from 1 species